rnacentral:rRNA from 1 species
CCUACGGGGGGCAGCAGUAGGGAAUAUUGCUCAAUGGGGGAAACCCUGAAGCAGCAACGCCGCGUGGAGGAUGACACUUUUCGGAGCGUAAACUCCUUUUCUUGGGAAAGAAUUAUGACGGUACCCAAGGAAUAAGCACCGGCUAACUCCGUGCCAGCAGCCGCGGUAAUACGGAGGGUGCAAGCGUUACUCGGAAUCACUGGGCGUAAAGGACGCGUAGGCGGAUUAUCAAGUCUUGAGUGAAAUCUAACGGCUUAACCGUUAAACUGCUUGGGAAACUGAUAAUCUAGAGUAAGGGAGAGGCAGAUGGAAUUCUUGGUGUAGGGGUAAAAUCCGUAGAGAUCAAGAAGAAUACCCAUUGCGAAGGCGAUCUGCUGGAACUUAACUGACGCUAAUGCGUGAAAGCGUGGGGAGCAAACAGGAUUAGAUACCCGGGUA